AGGCCAGUAAGGGAGCGCUCUCAUACAUAAAUGACUGAUAACAACAGCUAUCACCAAAGACUCCAAAAAAACACAACCUUCCACAAAGGCUACUACAAACUUA